GGGACAUUUGGGGUGGCCCUAUAGGGGGGGACGCAGGACGUGGGGCCACUGUCCCCCCCCUACUUGUAGGUCAGGCCGUCGCUGGUGGCGAAGAGCUGCUGGGCGCUGAGCCCUUCCUCAGGGACUGAGCCUGCGGCAUCGCUGGGCACGGGGUCGGUACUGGGGGGGAGCCUUCAUCAUCAUCAUCAUCAUCAUCAUCAUCAUCAUCAUCAUCAUCAUCACCACAUUGUUAUCAUCCUCACAUCACCAUCAUCAUCAUCACUGUCACAUCGUCGUCAUCAUCAUCAUCAUCACCACCAUUGCUAUAAUCCUCACAUCAUCAUCACCAUCAUCAUCAUCAUCAUCAUCAUCAUCAUCAUCAUCACUGUCACAUCGUCGUCAUCAUCAUCGCCAUCGUCAUCACCAUUGUUAUCAUCCUCACAACAUCAUCAUCAUCAUGAUGUCACUGCCACGUCAUCGUUGUCAUCAUCAUCAUCAUCACCAUUGUUAUCAUCAUCACCAUCAUCAUCAUCAUCACUGUCACAUCGUCGUCAUCAUCAUCAUCGUCGUCAUCAUCGUCAUCCUCACAUCAUCAUCAUCAUCAUCAUCAUGUCACAUCAUCAUUGUCACCAUCAUCAUCAUCAUUAUCAUCACUGUCACAUCGUCGUCAUCAUCGUCAUCAUCGUCAUCCUCACCAUUAUUAUCAUCCUCACAUCAUCAUCACAUCAUCAUCAUCAUCAUCAUCAUCAUCAUCAUGUCACAUCAUUGACGUCACCAUCAUCAUAAUCAUCAUCACCACCAUUGUUAUCAAUUUGACAUCAUCAUCACCAUCAUCAUCAUCAUCAUCAUCACUGUCACAUCGUCGUUAUCAUCAUCAUCAUCAUCAUCAUCAUCACUGUCACAUCGCCGUCGUCGCCAUCAUCGUCAUCCUCAACAUUGUUAUCAUCCUCACAUCAUCAUCACAUCAUCAUCAUCAUCAUCACUGUCACAUCAUCGUCGUCACCAUCAUCAUCAUCAUCAUCAUCACCACCAUUGUUAUCAUUCUCACAUCAUCAUCACCAUCAUCAUCAUCAUCAUCACUGUCACAUCAUCGUCGUCAUCAUCGUCAUCCUCAACACCAUUGUUAUCAUCCUCACAUCAUCAUCAUCAUCACCAUCGUUAUCAUCACCACCAUCAUCAAUAUUGCUAUCAUCUUCAUCAUAAUCAUUGUCAUCCUCAUCACCAUUGUUAUCAUUCUCACCAUCAUCAUCAUCAUCAUCACCAUCACCAUCAUCAUCAUCAUCAUCAUCAUCACUGUCACAUCAUCAUCGUCACCAUCAUCAUCAUCAUCACCAUUGUUAUCAUCCUCACAUCAUCAUCACCAUCAUCACAUCAUCACUGUAACAUCGUCGUCAUCAUCAUCAUUGUCGUCCUCACCACUGUUAUCAUUCUCACAUCAUCAUCAUCAUCAUCAUGUCACAUCAUCGUCAUCACCAUCAUCGCCAUUGUCAUCACCAUUGUUAUCAUCCUCACCAUCAUCAUCAUCAACGCUGUCACAUCAUCAUCAUCCCAGUACCUCCCCAGUAACUCCCAGUGCCCCCCCCAACAUCACUGCAUCACGUCCCAGUCCCUCCCAGUACCCCCCCAUACCUCCCACUAUCAUACAGUUCCCUCCCAGUACCCCCCCAGUAAUUCCCAGUGCCCCCCAUAGCACACCUGCGCCACAUCCCAGUCCCUCCCAGUGCUCCCAGUUCCCACUCCCAUAACUGGGCCACCCCUCAUCCAUCCCCACACCACUGCACAGCGGCCCCAUCCCGGGAGCCCCGCCCACAACGCCUCCUAUUGGUCCGCUCCUCUGCCAGCCCCGCCCCACCUCGCAUGUAGCCCCG
ensembl:lncRNA